GACGAACGCUGGCGGCGUGCCUAAUACAUGCAAGUAGGACGCAGUUGCGAACGGGUGAGUAACGCGUAGGUAACUACCUAUUAGAGGGGGAUAACUAUUGGAAACGAUAGCUAAUACCGCAUACUAGUAGAUGGACCUGCGUUGUAUUAGCUAGUAGGUAGGGUAAUGGCCUACCUAGGCAACGAUACAUAGCCGGCCUUGGGGGGUGAACGGGCACACUGGGAAUGGAGCAAGGCCCCGACUCCUACGGGGAGCAGCAGUAGGGAAUCUUCGGCAAUUGGGGGAACCCUGACCGAGCAACGCCGCGGGAGUGAAGAAGGUUUUCGGAUCGUAAAGCUCUGUUGUUAAGGAAGCGGUACUUAACCAGAAAGGGACGGCUAACUACGUGCCAGCAGCCGCGGUAAUUC
rnacentral:rRNA from 1 species